rnacentral:lncRNA from 1 species
AAAUAUUCUUCUCCUCCAACUCUCUAAUUAUUUUUGUGACUCUAUUAAAAAUGACAUCAUUUUGAAUUUUCCAAAUGAACUAGAUUACGACAUGUCAAACUAAAAGCUAACCACCUCAUAUAUAUAACCCUACCUCCUAGAGAAAAAAAUAAUUCAAAAAGCACUCAAGAAUCUUAAUGAAUAACUACAUGCUUGUAUCGACAAAUUUUAUUGUUCUCAUUGAAACUAUCACCUCUUU